CGCAGCCGCGGUAAUUCCAGCUCCAAUAGCGUAUAUUAAAGUUGUUGCAGUUAAAAGCUCGUAGUUGAAUUUCGGGAUUGGCGCAUCGGUCGUGCCUCACGGGGUAUGAACUGGUGCAGUCAAUUUCUCACCUUCUGGAGAACCGCGAUGUCCUUAAUUGGGUGCCGCGGGGAACCAGGACCUUUACUUUGAAAAAUUAGAGUGUUUAAAGCAGGCAUUUUUGCUUGAAUACAUUAGCAUGGAAUAAUAAAUAGGACGGCAUGGUUCUAUUUUGUUGGUUUCUAGGACCACCGUAAUGAUUAAUAGGGAUAGUUGGGGGCAUUAGUAUUCAAUUGUCAGAGGUGAAAUUCUUGGAUUUAUUGAAGACUAACUACUGCGAAAGCAUUUGCCAAGGAUGUUUUCAUUAAUCAAGACGAAGUUAGGGGAUCGAAGACGAUCAGAUACCGUCGUAGUCUUAACCNUAAACUAUGCCGACUAGGAAUCAGACGAUGUAAUUUUUAAUGACUCG
rnacentral:rRNA from 1 species